rnacentral:rRNA from 1 species
UUUCCGUAGGUGAACCUGCUGCUGGAUCAUUACA